GAUGAACGCUGGCGGCGUGCUUAACACAUGCAAGUCGAACGAUGAAGCCCAGCUUGCUGGGUGGAUUAGUGGCGAACGGGUGAGUAACACGUGAGUAACCUGCCCUUCACUCUGGGAUAAGCCUGGGAAACUGGGUCUAAUACCGGAUAGGAGCGCCUACCGCAUGGUGGGUGUUGGAAAGAUUUAUCGGUUUUGGAUGGACUCGCGGCCUAUCAGCUUGUUGGUGAGGUAAUGGCUCACCAAGGCGACGACGGGUAGCCGGCCUGAGAGGGUGACCGGCGACACGGGGACUGAGACACGGCCCAGACUCCUACGGGAGGCAGCAGUGGGGAAUAUUGCACAAUGGUCGAAAGCCUGAUGCAGCGACGCCGCGUGAGGGAUGACGGCCUUCGGGUUGUAAACCUCUUUCAGUAGGGAAGAAGCGAAAGUGACGGUACCUGCAGAAGAAGCACCGGCUAACUACGUG
rnacentral:rRNA from 1 species